AACGAACGCUGGCGGCAGGCUUAACACAUGCAAGUCGAGCGCCCCGCAAGGGGAGCGGCAGACGGGUGAGUAACGCGUGGGAAUCUACCCAUCUCUACGGAAUAACGCAUGGAAACGUGUGCUAAUACCGUAUACGUCCUUCGGGAGAAAGAUUUAUCGGAGAUGGAUGAGCCCGCGUUGGAUUAGCUAGUUGGUGGGGUAAAGGCCUACCAAGGCGACGAUCCAUAGCUGGUCUGAGAGGAUGAUCAGCCACACUGGGACUGAGACACGGCCCAGACUCCUACGGGAGGCAGCAGUGGGGAAUAUUGGACAAUGGGCGCAAGCCUGAGCCAGCCAUGCCGCGCGAGUGAUGAAGGCCCUAGGGUUGUAAAGCUCUGUCACCGGUGAAGAUAAUGACGGUAACCGGAGAAGAAGCCCCGGCUAACUUCGUGCCAGCCGCCGCUGUAAUAC
rnacentral:rRNA from 1 species